GAAAUGCGAUAAGUAAUGUGAAUUGCAGAAUUCAGUGAAUCAUCGAAUCUUUGAACGCACCUUGCGCUCCUUGGCAUUCCGAGGAGCAUGCCUGUUUGAGUGUCGUUGAAUCUAUCUCAGAACGACUGGGGAUUGGUGGAGGAUGCAUUGCGGUCACGUUAGUUGUUAUGUUACCCUUUGCUUCUCUGAAAUGGAUUGGCGUUGCGGCUGUGCCCAGUGGUCGGUAUGAUACAUGUCUUACCUGCUUUCAACUCGUGCCAGCCCAGCCAGGCCGAGACGACGAUGGUCUGUCUCACACAAUUUUGACCUCAAAUCAGGCAGGACUACCCGCUGAACUUAA
rnacentral:misc_RNA from 1 species